rnacentral:rRNA from 2 species
AAAUUGAAGAGUUUGAUCAUGGCUCAGAUUGAACGCUGGCGGCAGGCCUAACACAUGCAAGUCGAACGGUAACAGGAAGCAGCUUGCUGCUUCGCUGACGAGUGGCGGACGGGUGAGUAAUGUCUGGGAAACUGCCUGAUGGAGGGGGAUAACUACUGGAAACGGUGGCUAAUACCGCAUAACGUCGCAAGACCAAAGAGGGGGACCUUCGGGCCUCUUGCCAUCAGAUGUGCCCAGAUGGGAUUAGCUUGUUGGUGAGGUAACGGCUCACCAAGGCGACGAUCCCUAGCUGGUCUGAGAGGAUGACCAGCCACACUGGAACUGAGACACGGUCCAGACUCCUACGGGAGGCAGCAGUGGGGAAUAUUGCACAAUGGGCGCAAGCCUGAUGCAGCCAUGCCGCGUGUAUGAAGAAGGCCUUCGGGUUGUAAAGUACUUUCAGCGGGGAGGAAGGUGUUGCGGUUAAUAACCGCAGCAAUUGACGUUACCCGCAGAAGAAGCACCGGCUAACUCCGUGCCAGCAGCCGCGGUAAUACGGAGGGUGCAAGCGUUAAUCGGAAUUACUGGGCGUAAAGCG